GAUGAAGAACGUAGUGAAAUGCGAUAAGUAAUGUGAAUUGCAGAAUUCAGUGAAUCAUCGAAUCUUUGAACGCACAUUGCGCCCGCCAGCAUUCUGGCGGGCAUGCCUGUUCGAGCGUCAUUUCAACCCUCGACCUCCCCUUGGGGAAGUCGGCGUUGGGGACCGGCAGCAUACCGCCGGCCCCGAAAUGGAGUGGCGGCCCGUCCGCGGCGACCUCUGCGUAGUAAUCCAACCUCGCACCGGAACCCCGACGUGGCCACGCCGUAAAACCCCCAACUUUCUGAACGUUGACCUCGGAUCAGGUAGGAAUACCCGCUGAACUUAAGCAUAUCAAUAAGCGGAGGA
rnacentral:misc_RNA from 1 species